rnacentral:misc_RNA from 1 species
GGAAGUAAAAGUUGUAACAAGGUCUCCGUUGGUGAACCAGCGGAGGGAUCAUUACAGGACUCGCAAGACUCCUACAACCCUGUGAACUUAACUAUAAGCACGUUGCUUCGGCGGGUGUCUCGGAGGGGGUUCUCCCUCCCCGAGACGCUAAACCCGCCGGCAGCCUACUAUACUCUGUCUCUUUGCGUUGGCAUCUCGAGUACAAUCAAACAAGUUAAAACUUUCAACAACGGAUCUCUUGGUUCUG